CCUGGCUCAGGAUGAACGCUGGCGGCGUGCUUAACACAUGCAAGUCGAACGGAGCUUAAGAAGGAAGCUUGCUUUCAUUUAAGCUUAGUGGCGGACGGGCGAGUAACGCGUGAGCAACCUGCCCUUCAGUGGGGAAUAACACCGAGAAAUCGGUGCUAAUACCGCAUAAUGUCGGAGGACCGCAUGAUCUUCCGACCAAAGGAUUUAUUCGCUGAAGGAUGGGCUCGCGUCCGAUUAGGCAGUUGGCGGGGUAACGGCCCACCAAACCAACGAUCGGUAGCCGAACUGAGAGGUUGAUCGGCCACAUUGGGACUGAGACACGGCCCAGACUCCUACGGGAGGCAGCAGUGGGGAAUAUUGGGCAAUGGGCGAAAGCCUGACCCAGCAACGCCGCGUGAAGGAUGAAGGUCUUCGGAUUGUAAACUUCUUUGAUUGGGGAAGAAUUAAUGACCUACCCAAAGAACAAGUCACGGCUAACUACGUGCCAGCAGCGGC
rnacentral:rRNA from 1 species